AUUGAACGCUGGCGGCAUGCUUUACACAUGCAAGUCGAACGGCAGCGCGGUCUUCUGCCUGGCUGCUCGUGGCGCACGGGUGUGUGUUGCAUCUGAACGUGCCCCGUUUUAGUGGAUAGUCCGUCCAGAGCCCUAUUGCUACCACCUACUACCUGCUCGUGCAACCUGGGGAGCGAAAGGCCUCGCCGUCUUGGAGGGGCCGAGGUCGGGUUUGCUAGUUGGUGGGGUGAGGGCUUACGUAGGCGACGAUCCGUAGCUGGUCUGAGAGGACGACCAGCCACAAUGGGACUGAGACACGGCCCAGAGGCCUACGGGAGGGAGCAGUGGGGAAUUGUAGACAAUGGGGGCAACCCUGAUCCAGCGAGGCCGCGUGCGGGAAGAAAGCCUUCGGGUUGUAAACAGCUUUUGUUCGGGAAGAAAUGCUCUGGGCUAAUACCCAGGGGGGAUGACGGUAACGGAAGAAUAAGCACCGGCUAACUACGUG
rnacentral:rRNA from 1 species